AGCAACAGCAACAAGAAGUGAGUGAUUUUCGGUAGCAGAAGCUUUAAAUACACUUCCAGAUCUCUCGUUCCUACGAAAAAUGCAAAUUCCAAUUUCCACCAAGACCAAAAAUCCUAGUUUGACUCUGCAUUGCAAGCAUGUGAAAAGAAAAAUUAUACCCCUAGCAUAAGGGUAUGGAUCCAACAGUAAUGCAGCGCAGCCGAAGGUCGUCGCCGUCAUGUUGUUGUUGCUAUGUUUCUGCUUCUGACGCUGUUGCCGUCGCUGCCAACGUUGACUGCGCCGCAGCAGAAAAAAAAGUAACAGCAUCGACCGCAGCAUAGAUUCCACUUUGGGAAAUUUGAGAAAACUGCAUUAAAUUUUCGUAUAUUUCGUACCCAAGCACACUGGGCAAAACAAUCUAGCGGAAGAAAAUUCAAAUUUUGAUAUACUAAAAACUGGAAAUUUGUUUUUGAUUCGGUUACCAAUACACUUUUUCGGCUAUCGACACUUUUUUCUUAAUAUCGAUGAAAUCGAUAUUCGGUCAGCUGUGAGCAUUUAAAAGUGACAUAUAUGGGCUGUUUUGCCCAGUUUACUAAGGAAGGAACGGAACCCUUUGCUUCUACACCACAACGUUGUUGCUUUACCAUGUACAUAUGUAUGUACAUAGUAUGUAUGUAUGCACUAUGCAUAUAUGGAUGUAUAGCCUAUAGUAUAGCCAUUAUAGAUGUACUUAAAUAUGUAUCCUUAGAUAAUAUCCUUAGAUAAUAAUGGCAUACCAUUCCCAUUUUAUGUACAUAUGUAUGUUUCCAUGGCACUAAAAUGGUGGCUCCAAUAGUGAAGGAAGAGCAAAGGAAGAAGGAUAUUCAACAAAGACUGGAUGAGGAAGAAGCAGAGUUGGACUGGGAGGAAAAUGAUAGCGAAUGAAGAGUCAGACUUUGAAGGGGAUGGGGGAGGAAGCAGAAGGAAAUUAGGCAGCCAGGCAAGACCACGAGAGUCGAUGGCUGAAGUAAAGAGAGAAAGUCAGGAUUAGCUGAUAAAGUUGGGGAAGUAACAAAUAAUUCGGUGAAGAAACCGAAUAAUCUAACAUAAAUAAAACUAGAGAAGAAUGCAAAAACGAGCAGGUGAAAAAUGUGAAUAGGAGAGGGUGGAAAAUGAGAUAAAUAAUAAUAAGGGGCGACUGUCUGAUUAAGAAGGGAAGAACAAGCAGUGGAUACAGAGCACAAAAAGGGGAAGAAGAACUGGAGGGGGAUCAUUGAGAAGGAUCUGCGGGUUCUAAUUAUUGGAAGUAUUGAUCAUUGGAGCAGUGAAGAAAGAUAAAAAAAAAGGAAGGCCAAUUGGCAUAAGAA